rnacentral:rRNA from 1 species
CCUACGGGAGGCAGCAGUGGGGAAUAUUGCACAAUGGGGGAAACCCUGAUGCAGCGACGCCGCGUGAGUGAAGAAGUAAUUCGUUAUGUAAAGCUCUAUCAGCCGGGAAGAAAAUGACGGUACCUGAGUAAGAAGCCCCGGCUAACUACGUGCCAGCAGCCGCGGGAACACGUAGGGGGCAAGCGUUAUCCGGAUUUACUGGGUGUAAAGGGGGCGUAGAGGGCAGUGCAAGUGCGGAGUGAAAGGCGGGGGCUCAAACCCCGGACUGCUCUUGAAACUGUACGGCUGGAGUGCAGGAGAGGUAAGUGGAAUGCGUGGUGUAGCGGUGAAAUGCAUAGAUAUCAGGAAGAACACCGGUGGCGAAGGCAGCUUACUGGACUGUAACUGACGUUGAGGCACGAAAGCGUGGGGAGCGAACAGGAUUAGAUACCCCAGUAGUC